rnacentral:rRNA from 1 species
AUUGAACGCUGGCGGCAGGCCUAACACAUGCAAGUCGAACGAGUGGCGGACGGGUGAGUAAUGUCUGGGAAACUGCCCGAUGGAGGGGGAUAACUUCGGAAAACUGUAGCUAAUACCGCAAACCAUCGGUUGCCCCGAGAUGGGAUUCGCGUGUAGGUGGGGUAACGGCCCACCUAGGCGACGCUCCCUAGCUGGUCUGAGAGGAUGACCAGCCAAACUGGAACUGAGACACGGUCCAGACUCCUACGGGAGGCAGCAGUGGGGAAUAUUGCACAAUGGGCGCAAGCCUGAUGCAGCCAUGCCGCGUGUAUGAAGAAGGCCUUCGGGUUGUAAAGUACUUUCAGCGAGGAGGCGUUACUCGCAGAAGAAGCACCGGCUAACUCCGUGCCAGCAGCCGCGGUAAUUC